AACCAAUAACAUGAGAGUGUCCUCCGAAUUUUAAAAAUAAAUAUGAAUAAUAAUGUUGAAUUAAUCCUAUUUAUAAAUAAUAUAAAUCAACACAAUAAUGGAGUAAAAAGUUUUUUCCAAAGCAUGACACCUUAGCUUUUAAAAUGACGGAGGGAUUGACAUGUAAUGAAAAAACUCGAAGAACCAAUAGAAACAUUUUAUUUCUCCACAUCCUUCGUCCAAGCUCCAAAUCAUUGUCUUUGUUCUAUACCUUUUCCUCUUCGGUAAUUUCAUCGCUGACGACGACGAUUCCAAAAGACGAAACAUCUUCUUCGGAACUCCAAGGCUUUGACGGCGAAUUCAGAGACCAUCACAGGUAAGACCCCACCCCGAUUUGUAGCUCUAGCCCGAGCCCAGCUUCUACGUCUUUCUCUUCGUCAUGUUCAUAUAUAGUUUGGUAAUAUUGUUCCGAUAAGCUUACAGAAAUCACCCGUCGAUCCUUUCACCAGAGAAUCGUAAACCAUCUGCAUCUCAAGGUGUUCCACUUGGGGUACCAAAGCAGAUUACCCUAUUGGUUCUAUUGCUACUGGUUAUUGCAGAAGUGGAAGCAUGUAUAGGAGCUUCGGAGGAGAGUUUAGAUACUCGAUCUGUGCCGGCCACAUUCUCGGCUUUCCUUGUGUACAUUUUACUUGUAGCAUCAUGAACGUGGCUAUUAAGACCUGAUGCCAGUUAUGCCACUUAUUAUACCAUGGAAGUGAGGUACUUGCGUAAUAACACUAAUCAUACCAGUGGGCACAAUGCUGGUCACAGGGACAUUAUCGGAUUAAUAUGUUCUGGGAAGUUGUGGAAUUUUUCUCAACUGAAAACUAUAAGUUCUGAAAGUAAUUCAAGUUCAGCUUUACUACAACCUACUAUACCCAAUUAUCAUAGGAGUCCUUUUUGUGUUUCGCCAACAGAACUGAGGGGUAACAAACAUGUAUCAUCUUUAUUUUCAGAUUUGUGACGGCCUGUUCGAGAAGACCAUUGCUCGGUUUAAAAUUCUUGGAACAUGUGUUUUGUAUCCAAAGCAAUACGAUCAUUAAAGAUCUGUUUGGGACUGUGUUUCAGGGUUGUCGGUAGCAAAAGUGAUGAACAGUUGAUAGCAUCUGCUUGUAUGAACCUUAUCAAGCUUCCGCCCUGUCAAAGGUUUGUCCUCCGACUCCUCCCAUAACUCAUCAUCUUCGUUGGAUUUUGCUCAUUAAAAAAAAACUCAAUCAUUUGUCUCGAAUAAGUUGUCUUGCACUCUAUGUUAUAUAACAGAAGAAAUCAAAUUAAACAUAUCUUUUCAAUGCUGCAGCAAUGAACACCUUCAGACCAAAUUGAUUUACGCCAUGAGCGCAGAACGAGUUUUGAUAUGAGCUGAAUAGCUUUUGCGGACCCUUGUUCAGCUACUUAACCACUGCUGGUCCAAAGAUUUUGGACUCGGUCACUUUUUUAUCCUCAAGCUAAACAACAAGAAGACAUCCAGCUAUAUAAGCUAUAUGUUAUAGCAACGAAGGAGUCAUCUUUAGAGGCACGAACCGAUCUACUUCUCUCAAAUUAAAAGAAUAUCACUCCUUUGAGUUCUAUAUAAGCUAUUAUGCUGACUCUCUAAUAGAAAACACAAGGGUCUGCAGCAAGAGAGGUCUUCGCUGCAAUAAGA